rnacentral:misc_RNA from 1 species
GAUGAAGAACGCAGCGAAAUGCGAUAAGUAAUGUGAAUUGCAGAAUUCAGUGAAUCAUCGAAUCUUUGAACGCACAUUGCGCCCGCCAGUAUUCUGGCGGGCAUGCCUGUUCGAGCGUCAUUUCAACCAUCAAGCCCCAGGCUUGUGUUGGGGACCUGCGGCUGCCGCAGGCCCUGAAAACCAGUGGCGGGCUCGCUGUCACACCGGGCGUAGUAGAUUUUAUCUCGCUCAGGGCGUGCUGCGGGUUCCGGCCGUUAAAAAGCCUUUUUUACCCAAGGUUGACCUCGGAUCAGGUAGGAAGACCCGCUGAACUUAAGCAUAUCAUAAGCGGAGGA